AUGCGUUGUCUCUCUUCUCUUCUUCUCUCCCCAGUUUUUCUCAACCUGUUCAUCUCCAGAAUGGAUGGAAGGCUAGUACUUACCAUCCUGGCCCUGUGUGUAAUGAAUGUCGUAACCAUUGAAAUGAGCACAUUUCCCCCCCAACCUCUCACAUCAUCCAACUCCACUCCUGCUACCUCCGGUCCCAUCACUCCCAUCACUUCCUGUGAGUGUAAUAUCUCCACUUCCUGUUCCUCUCCGACCAAGCCCAAGUCUCUGCCACCUGCGCUGGGUGUUGUCAAGGUCAACUGGAAAGGAAAGUCCUGUAAGGGGGACAUACACCUGUCUCUCCUCUUGCACCAUUCCUUACCACUCUGUUUUAACAGUUUGGCUAAUCAUAGCCUUCAACUGGCAGAGUUGUGUGAGAGGAAGGGCUGCGAGGGCUCCCCAAAGUGGACUGAGACCCCUGCUAGGUCUGAGGGUUACCAGAUCGAUAGGGAUGGAAGGGUUACCAAUAACUCCUGUACAACACUGAGGAUCCAAUGCGUAGACGUCCCAGAUCAGUUAGUGGGCUAUAAGGUGGUGACUGGACUGCUGUGUGUUCUGGUGCUGGUGGUGCUGAUGGUGCGUUUCGGGCAGCCCUCCCUCAAGGCCUUCCGUAAGAGACUGUCAGACAAGAGACAGAGUCGGUGGAUCGGACCUACGCAGAGCCAAAGUGUCUCCUACCAUAGAGGGAAGGCUGGACUCCAACUUAACGACAACACAGACAAGAGACACUCCUACCCUGGUGAGGCACUCACACACACACACACACCACACACACACACACACACACACACACACACACACGCGCACACGCACACGCACACACACACACACGCCCGCGCGCACACACACACACACACACACACACACACACACACACACACACGCGCGCAAACACACACACACACACACACACACACGCACACACACACACACACACAUACACACACACAUACACACACACAUACACACGCACACACAUACACACUUUCCAUUCUUCUAUUAACAUGGGCGGAAGCCUAACCUGAGAAUUGUGUGAUUUACACAAACUUUGAAUGACGCACGCAUAGCCGUCUCAAGUUGGUAUUGGACCCUAACGCGUUACGUUCCCUCUCGUUCUCCAAGGAUUGGAGAGGCUGACGGUGAACACCAGCCGAGAGCCGUCGUCUAACAGAAACAGUGAUUAUGACUCUUAUAACUUGUGAUCAUCAUCAUCAGUCAUAUUCUUCAUCCUCCAAGACAAUAUACUGUACAUGUAUUUUUAAUAUUUUAUUAUAUUUUUUUAUGCUAAAUGUAAUAUUUUUUUACGCACAUAAUCUCAUUUUUUGUUGUUUCUGUAUGUAAUUCAAUCAUUCACUUCUUUAAUUGAAUAAAAAGUCAAGUUUGUUGUUGAAUAAAACGUUUGGACCUCAUACUGAUAACUGAACAGGAUGUUGUAAGUGAGAGAAAGAAAGAAAGGCAAUGAAAAGCAGGAUAAAAGAAAGAGGGAGAGAAAAUAACGUUGCGAGAAAGAACGGGGGGAUAAAAAAAGAGAUGUAAAUUGGGUUAUGUAGAGACAAGGGAAAUGAUGAGUGAGUGGCUUCACACGCGCACACACACACACACACACACAUACACACACACACACACACACACACACACACACACACACCGCACACAAACUUCUGCAACGAUGUGGCUUCCUGUGCCUUUGACACCAACAUCCUGUUUCUGUUAUUUCUGUCACACUUUCAUUCCAUCGUUCUAAAUUUAUGUGCAUCGGUACACCUUUGUCCCUCUUCUUAUCCUCGAACAACCUCUGUAAUCCCCCUCUUUUCCCCCCCAUCUCCGUCUUCCUGUCCUCUAUUCAUUUGGCUGUCGUGUCUACAUUUUUCUCAUUUAUCUUCUCAAACCAAGACUAUUGUUGGUGGAGGAGAUUGUUCUUCCGUAUCUUUUCACGUCUCUUUUGAGUUGAAUGAAAUAAUGUUUUCUGUCUGGAAUGGAAGUGGAGAAGAUUGGCAAACUGAGCCUCAGUCAUUCUUCUGUGUGUGUGUCUGUGUGUGUGUGUGUGUGUGUGUGUGUGUGUGUGUGUGUCUCUAACAGGGCAGUGUGUGACAUAAUAUGUGUGUGUCUGUGAGCGAGAGUGUGUGGGUGUAGUUUUGUGUCUUCCUCUCUGUCAGGUCACGCUAGACUAGAGGAUUAAAUCUGUCCCGUUAGAGGAACAAUGACAGAUGACAACAGAUUACACACAGAGAUUAUCUCAGAAAGAGGGAGAGAUGUGGAGUGAGAGGGUGAUAAGUGAGGGGGGAGAGGAGAGAGAGGGAGAGCAGAGAGAGGAGAGCGAGAGGAUAGAGAGGAGAGAGAGGAGGGGAGAGAGAGGGGGAGAGAGGAGAGGAGAGAGACAGGAGAGAGAGAGGGGAGGAGAGGAGAGGAGAGAGAGAGGAGAGAGGAUGGAAAGACAAAAGUAUGAUCAAGUGAACCUGCUGUGAAUCCAGUCACUUUGACGCAUUAAGUGAGUGAGUUCACAAAAUACAACACGCAUGAUGAGCAUUAACAGGCAUACAGAUAUUAACAUAGCUCUCUCACUCACAGAUACACGCACAGAUAUGUCAAGCAGCAUACACACACACUGAAAUGACUGUACUCAGUGAAGUUCAGUCCAUGUAAAUGAAGAUUAUUACGUUACUAGGAUGUAGUAACACCUCACCAUCAUUCAUCUUAUAUUGCUCAUUCUGAUAUCUCUUAAUUUCUUGUUUUGACUUUUUCUGUGUGAUUAUUUGCGUAUUCAUAUUGUAAUGUUAGACACUUACUGCCCUGCCGGAGCUAGAAACAUAGACAUUUCGCUGCACCCGCUUUAACACCUGCUAAUAUCUGUAUGUGACAAAUGCAAUUUGAUUUGAUUUGAUUUUGAUUUUUAAAAAAUUGUAAGAAAAGAGAGACGGGGAGAAAAAAGAGAAAGGAAGUCAGUGAAGUGAAUGAAUAAUGCCAGGAUGCCAGGUAAAAGAAAGGAGGCGGAAUGAAGAAGAGAGAGAGAAAGAGAUGGAUCCAGGAAGACGACUGGGAGUGUUUCCGAUUCUACUAGUAAUAUGAGAAUGCUUUGUGAAAUGUAAUGCUAUGGGUUUUACGCUAAUCCGUCCGUGUCGGGGACAUGGGCCGCGUCUCAAAUGUCACCCUAUUCUCUAUAUAGUGCUCUACUUAGUGCACUGUGUAGGGAAUAGGGUGCAAUUUCGGGAGCAGGCAUUGUCCCUAAGCCCCUUCUGUCGGUGUAUUACUGGUGUAUCACUGCACAGAAGUGCAGAGAGAGGGAUCAAAACUACCCAGAAUUAAAUGAAUAUUGCGCCUCUCUCGGAGUCCUCUCCAUAUCUCUCUAUCUUGUCAUCCUCCUCUCUCCCCCUUUAGUUUUGAUCCAUCCUCCUCUCAUCUCAACAUAUUUCCAGACAAAUAUUCUACACCCACCUACAGUUUUGUUUACGUGUACAGUAUCUGUGUUCUGUAAUGGCUGCCGUCAGAUGACUGUUGUGGGGGAAUCAAAGAAGUUGCAUGAAAACAUGGAGUAGUGGGUGUUUAUACGGUGGUGGGGAAUGCUGGUACUACCAUAGUUAGAGAGAGAGAGGUGGGGGAGAGAGAGAGUGGCGGGGGAGAUAGAGAGAGACAGAGAGAGAGAGUGACGGUCGGAGAGAGAGAGAGAGAGAGAGAGAGAGAGAGAGAGUGGCGGGGCAGAGAGAGAGAGAGAGAGAGAGAGAGAGAGAGAGAGUGGCGGGAGAGAGAGAGAGAGAGAGAGAGAGAGAGAGAGAGAGAGAGAGAGAGAGAGAGAGAGAGAGAGAGGAGAGUGG
rnacentral:lncRNA from 8 species